UGACCCCGUGCGGGAGAGUCCUCCGGUGCAGAAUUCGGAGGCGCCGAAGGAGCAAAUCCUCCCCGGAAUCUCUCAGGCCCCCGUACCGCACGGACGAG
rfam:Streptomyces sp. IB2014 011-1 STIB_19, whole genome shotgun sequence.